UACGUAGGGCGCAAGCGUUAUCCGGAAUUACUGGGCGUAAAGCGCGCGUAGGCGGCUUUGUAAGUUAGGGGUGAAAGCCCGGAGCUCAACUCCGGAACUGCCUUUAAAACUGCAUCGCUUGAAUCCAGGAGAGGUGAGUGGAAUUCCGAGUGUAGAGGUGAAAUUCGUAGAUAUUCGGAAGAACACCAGUGGCGAAGGCGGCUCACUGGACUGGUAUUGACGCUGAGGUGCGAAAGCGUGGGGAGCAAACAGG
rnacentral:rRNA from 1 species